rnacentral:rRNA from 1 species
UACGUAGGGAGCAAGCGUUGUCCGGAAUCAUUGGGCGUAAAGAGCUCGUAGGCGGUUUGUCGCGUCUGCCGUGAAAGUCCGGGGCUCAACUCCGGAUCUGCGGUGGGUACGGGCAGACUAGAGUGAUGUAGGGGAGACUGGAAUUCCUGGUGUAGCGGUGAAAUGCGCAGAUAUCAGGAGGAACACCGAUGGCGAAGGCAGGUCUCUGGGCAUUAACUGACGCUGAGGAGCGAAAGCAUGGGGAGCGAACAGG